AUCAGCACAAAAAAUCACUAGAAAGAACCGGUCAUUGGCCUUCCCAAAGCGAUGUGCUGAAUUUCUCUCUUGAAGAAUGAGCCUGCACUUUGCUUUCGCUUCCAGCGGCUGGGGAAAUGUCAAGGCACGAUGAGUCACGCUGCAGAUCGGAUCUGAGUACCUUCUUGUGCUCUUCUUACUGACUGUGCAGUGGUGAGAUUACAGAACUCAAUAUGGAUAUGACGAGACUGAAAACAAGAUGUGGGUCUUCUCCAGGAAGUGAAGGUCUACAAGUGAUCUAGGUUUUUUACCCUUCCUGAAGAUGCAAAAUACACUGAAGAAUACAUACUGAUCCUUAAACUCUAAGACAACCUGCUCCUUGGCAGAAUCCGAAGGAAGAGAGUCAUAGGGACUGUUUAUUUUUGUUUUAUUCUAAGACAUAGUAAUUACUUGGCUUCCUUUUAUAAAACACCUGCAUACAUUGUGCUGCAUUACUGAUCCAAAACUUGGCUUUUUAAUGUGGUUGCUCUUGCCUGCUUAUAUUUCCAUUUCUCUGGGCAUGUGUAUACGUUAUUAUACUUUUUUCUCUAUUUAAUGUUUUUCCACUGGUUUCUCUGUUUUUACUUUUCCAGAGCUGAAUAACCAAAGUUUAUAUAGUCUAGAAGAAUAGACUUCUAAGUUAGAACUUAUUUCAUAAUACUUUGCUGUCUUAUAUUUCUCUUUUUUUUUUUUUUUUUUUUUCUCCACAUUUGGUAAUGUCUCAAAGUCCAUGUGCCAAACAUUGUAUAAAUAGGAGUAGUCAUGAUGGUGCCCUAAACAGCUUACAGUUUAAUUAAAGACAGGAAAACAAGAACUAAUUGUAAAACAAUAGGAAAGAGACUGAGGGCAAUUGUAAAAAUGUCAUGUAUUUAAAUAAGCUCAAUGUGAACAGUUUGUGCACAGCUCCAAAUCAGAAGUCUAAUGGCUUUGACACAUGCUUUCCAUGAAAUCAUGUGGUACCCUAAUAUUUUCUCUGUCUUCUGUCCUUCUCUUUGCCACUCAUGGUGAAGCUGUUCAUCUGUACUGUGCUCUGUCCCUCCUGUGUUCUCCUACCACUCUGCUACCUGGAAGUGUUGGGAUCCACAUGGUACUACCAUCCAGAUAGUAUGGUGACAUAGAGGAGCUGUACCACCUGCAGUCAGAAGAGAAUCUCCUGAGGUGUUCACCCCUCCUCAGGUCUGUUCUUUGGAGCAAAAAGUAUUCUUAGCUUAUAUAUUCCGAGCUGUUCCCAUCUGUAUUAUCUCUUUUGUGUGAGUAGCCUUACUGUGAGAGCCUCAUAACCUUUCAUGUAACGAUUAUGCUUUGAGGGACAUGACUGUUGUCAUAUAUCCUCUGCAGGUGAGUAAGCAAAAGUCUUCAUGCUGAAGAUGCCCUAGCAUGUCUUCCAUGCGGUACAUUCUACAGCACUGCAAAGGCAUGGCAGUCUUCCAAAAAAUUAGCACUCCUCUUUGCUCAGCUGCUGUCCUUGGAGGUGCUGCAGGGAUCUCCGCUCUCAUCUCCUUGGAAGAGAUAUCAAAAAUUCCCAGGCUGAACAUCUUCUAAUACCCUACUACCAGUCUUAAUCUGGCCAGAUAGGACUAAAAACAGAAGGUGUCACUAUUUCACAAAGAGAUUAGUGCCUACAUGAGGGGCACAGAGAGUUGCAGGAGAGAAGAAGGCAAGACAGAAGCAAUACUAUUUUGAGGAGGAAAAGAAUUUGAAAGGCUAUGUGAGGCAGUUUGUUGGUGGUGCCAAUUCCUAAGGCAGUGUUUGCCUCUGCUCACACUGAUCUUCAUAAAGGUCCAUUUCACAGCAACCUUCCAGGCGAGGAAGUCCCCUCCCAUCCAUAAAUGAUGCUCCAGCCAAGGGUCACCGGAGAGUGAUGCUUGGUGCCUGCACUGCCUUCACUGGAAUGAGCACGUUAGCCUACCCUAGGACAAGAACAAUAGAGGCAUCCAGGCUGGGAUGGAUGCCUGCAGGGUGGUGAUCAGGCUAAUAUGGAGCACUGUGCUGGGCUUUGCCUCUCCAUUAUCUCUUGAAAGGAUGCUCUGCACUGAAGCUAGGGAAAGAAAGAUGAAAGCCUUGACAAAUGAUUAUUUUUUUUUAAAUGUUCCCAUUUAAAGACAGACCUUUAUAUCUCAGCAGCAAUUUUCCUUCCAAGGAAAUUUAUAUUUGAUUGCUUCUCUGACCUCUUUUUUUAAUUAGUUUCAGAUACUUAUUGUGUCUUUAGUGGUUCUUUGCCUGAGGUGGAGAUGGUAUUUGUUUUUCUAAAUUGCAUUGAUACUGAUUUCAAAUGUGGCAUAUUUUCCAUUGUCAUGUGGUACUUUCCCUCUAAAGAUCCAUUCGUUCUUUCUCAACCAAAACAAAUUUAUGCAUUUUGAUAUAUACAAAAAAAUAGCUAUAUAUAAAUAUGAUAUUUUAUAUGAAGAAUAUUUCUCCUCUGAGCAAUUUCUCAGAUUUUAAUAGAGAAAAUAAAUUAGUUUUGUCCUUUGAAAUGUCUUCCUCCUUACCAUUUUAAGAGUUGACUAAAUUCAAUAGGGUUUAUUUCAAUAACUGGAAGAUAUAUACAGGCCAUUGCAUAAAUCCUCUUGCUUUCAUUUUAAUCAAAAUGUUUUUAUUUCUCUCAUCUGCUUAAUGAACAUGUAUGACUCUUCUAGCAUAUUGUUCCAUUGUUCCUCUUCCUCGUGUGCAAAGAGGACAUCCAUCAAUUAAGUCUUACAGGCCAACCUACUGAAUUUAAAGGUUUCCCUAGUUCUUUGUGAAAACCAAUUACCUAAAAUUUCUGACUAAAAUAGUUUAAAAUGUCUUUUUAGGGUGUUCUAUUUUAAAGUAAAAGUUUUUUAAACUAUUUAUUUGCAGAAGUGGUGCUUAUAACUGAUACAAGGAAUUAGAAAAAAAUAAUAAUUUGAUUAUCAUAAAACAAGAGUUGCCUAUACAUAUAGGUCAUGACGUAAAAUCACAUGAUUGUGCUGCAGCUGCUGGAAUUCCAUAAAAAAGCAUGUCUUCAGUGAGUAUUUUCCUAUCACUUUUAUCAAAGGACCUAACAACAAAGAUUUUGUAGAGGUUUCUCAGUAUAUCAUGGCUGAUUUUACUUUUUGUUUUGGCUAACAAAAAAAAAAAAAAAAGUGUGGCUCUGUUGUUUUGUUGUUGUGUUUGUUUGUUUUUGUUUUCCACACACUGAGCAUUAAAUGAUUUUUUUUUUUUUUUAAUUUGCACACUCAGCAUGUACAAAAGGGUGUAGCUUUGUUGAAUUCUACAGGGGACUCUGAUGAAUACCAUGUCCUAGUCAACAUUAUAUGGAGUUUGACUCUAUAUGCACACACAUUUUUGGUUAUCAAAGGAAGCUUCACCUUGAUUUAAAAUAGACCCAGGCUAAUGUGCCUGAGGGAUAAGUUGCAGCGCAGAAGCAAUAAACACAUGAAAAUACUGUGAAAUUUUAAAAUCUUUAUUAUAACUGAAUUAAAUGAUUUAUUAAUAGUAAAUGUUUUGAGAGUUUAAAAGUUGACUGGGUUGUUCUGUGCAAGUGUCAGAGGUGUCUAUAGUGUCAUUAUAGUGUAAACUCUAAAAGUUAACUCUAGUGUUAACUCCAAAGUGACAUAAGAAGGGAGAUUUCUGACAGCAUUGGAGCAAUGGAAAUGUCCAGGUUUUUGGUCUGGUUUUACACAAACAGAAGCUGUCUUAUGUUCAGUGGAAACUUUGUUCUUGAACUGUAUAAAGUGCUUGCACUUGUCAUGAACCGUGUAAAUAUAAUUCAAACUAAAGUAAAGCUUAUGACAGCUGAAGUUGGCAAUAUGUUGCUUUGCAUAAGUGAACCAUCAUGUCUUCUAUUUCUUUUAUACCCAUUGUAUAAAAUAAUUCACAACACUCAUAUAACAUGAGGCAAAACCCUAAGGUGCUGGAAACAGGAAACAUAACUGCACUUAUUUUUUGACUUUCAUCCUUCUGAAACAAUACUUUCAGUCAUGCUUAGUAUCUUGUUUAAAAACUUGAAACUGUUUACUUAUGGUUCUCAUUAGUAAUAACUUUUAAGUAGGACCUAAUACAAAGGAAAAUUCCUUCUAGUGGCAAAACUAUUAGAAUUAUUCCAAAUGUAUAUUGCUGGAAAUCAUUUGGCCAUAACAGAGUAAUAGCAUUACAGAGACCAGAAUUUGGCUGUCUUUGGAUUUAUUUUAAUGCAAAAUUUCUGCAGCAGAGCUGUAGUUUUUAUGUAUUUUUGAUUACAUCAUGUUUUGCUCUCCACAAGCCAGCCUGUGCUCCUUUGCAAUUUUGGUGAGUUUUGUCACUGAAAUUACUCGGGUUUUGUUUGUUUGUUUGAGUACUUUGACAAUUUUAUGGAUCUCAAUUGUUUUGUUCUUUAUUACAUUUUAUAACACUGUUCCAUAGGAGUACAUCAUUAAAUGUUCUGUUGACAAUGGAACCAAUGAAAAAUAUGAAGCAGAGCUAUCAGAUACAAUAAUCGUCUGUCCCCAAACCUUCUUCUACAACACUGUUAUUUUUUUUAAUUUUUUUUUUUUUUUUGACUGUAGUUAUCUUCAUCGAAUCAUAAAACGGUUUGGGUUGGAGGAGACCAUAAAGAUCAUCUAUGUCAACCCCCCCUGUCAUGAAAAGGGGUGCUAUCCACUAGAUCAGGUUGUCCAGGCUGGCCUUGAAUACCUCCAGGGAUGGGGCAUCCACAACUUCUCUGGGCAACCUGUUCUAGUGCCUCACCACCCACAUAGCCCAAGAGAUUAUUUAUUUUGGAAAGCUAUACUGAAAAACUUUUUUAUAUUUGCAUACAUUAAGAACAUUUUCUAUAAGUAGUAAUGCAUGGUCUUUAAUGAUAUUUUGAAGUACUUUUUGAAUUAAAGCACUAAAUUGUUAUUAUUUUUCGUCAGGAAUAAAGAAAUUAGAUUAUUUAUAUUAGAUUAUAUUAGAUUACUCUCACUAUUAAUAUGAGUUAUGUAAAACUGAAGAUCUGUGUCUGACUCAUAGAAGUAAUGUUGUAUAUUCUGAAAGGACAUAGAGAUAUAAAAUGUAAAACCAAGACUAUAUAUGAAAGCUGUCACAAAGAACAUAGAUACCAAUUAAAUGUUUGUGUAAAUAAAUUAAACUGGAAAUCACAUAAA